UACGGGGGGAGCAAGCGUUGUUCGGAUUUACUGGGCGUAAAGGGCGGGUAGGCGGCCACCGCAAGUCAGUUGUGAAAUCUCCGGGCUUAACCCGGAAAGGUCAACUGAUACUGCGGGGCUAGAGUGCAGAAGGGGCAACUGGAAUUCUCGGUGUAGCGGUGAAAUGCGUAGAUAUCGUAAGGAAGACCAGUGGCGAAGGCGGGUCUCUGGACAGUUCCUGACGCUGAGGCACGAAGGUCAGGGGAGCAAACGGG
rnacentral:rRNA from 1 species